rnacentral:rRNA from 1 species
UACAGAGGGUGCGAGCGUUAAUCGGAAUUACUGGGCGUAAAGUGUGCGCAGGCGGCCGAGCAAGUCGAGUGUGAAAGCCCCCGAGCUUAACUUGGGAAUUGCGCUCGAAACUACUUGGCUGGAGUGUGGCAGAGGAAGGUGGAAUUCCAGGUGUAGCGGUGAAAUGCGUAGAGAUCUGGAGGAACACCGAUGGCGAAGGCAAUCCCCUGGGCCUGCACUGACGCUCAUGCACGAAAGCGUGGGGAGCAAACAGG